rnacentral:rRNA from 1 species
UGAUCCUGGCUCAGGAUGAACGCUAGCUACAGGCUUAACACAUGCAAGUCGAGGGGCAGCAUUUUAGUUUGCUUGCAAACUGAAGAUGGCGACCGGCGCACGGGUGAGUAACACGUAUCCAACCUACCGAUAACUCCGGAAUAGCCUUUCGAAAGAAAGAUUAAUACCGGAUAGCAUACGAAUAUCGCAUGAUAUUUUUAUUAAAGAAUUUCGGUUAUCGAUGGGGAUGCGUUCCAUUAGUUUGUUGGCGGGGUAACGGCCCACCAAGACUACGAUGGAUAGGGGUUCUGAGAGGAAGGUCCCCCACAUUGGAACUGAGACACGGUCCAAACUCCUACGGGAGGCAGCAGUGAGGAAUAUUGGUCAAUGGGCGAGAGCCUGAACCAGCCAAGUAGCGUGAAGGAUGAAGGCUCUAUGGGUCGUAAACUUCUUUUAUAUGGGAAUAAAGUUUUCCACGUGUGGAAUUUUGUAUGUACCAUAUGAAUAAGGAUCGGCUAACUCCGUGCCAGCAGCCGCGGUAAUACGGAGGAUCCGAGCGUUAUCCGGAUUUAUUGGGUUUAAAGGGAGCGUAGGUGGAUAGUUAAGUCAGUUGUGAAAGUUUGCGGCUCAACCGUAAAAUUGCAGUUGAAACUGGCAGUCUUGAGUACAGUAGAGGUGGGCGGAAUUCGUGGUGUAGCGGUGAAAUGCUUAGAUAUCACGAAGAACUCCGAUUGCGAAGGCAGCUCACUAGACUGUCACUGACACUGAUGCUCGAAAGUGUGGGUAUCAAACAGGAUUAGAUACCCUGGUAGUCCACACAGUAAACGAUGAAUACUCGCUGUUUGCGAUAUACAGUAAGCGGCCAAGCGAAAGCAUUAAGUAUUCCACCUGGGGAGUACGCCGGCAACGGUGAAACUCAAAGGAAUUGACGGGGGCCCGCACAAGCGGAGGAACAUGUGGUUUAAUUCGAUGAUACGCGAGGAACCUUACCCGGGCUUAAAUUGCAACAGAAUAUAUUGGAAACAGUAUAGCCGUAAGGCUGUUGUGAAGGUGCUGCAUGGUUGUCGUCAGCUCGUGCCGUGAGGUGUCGGCUUAAGUGCCAUAACGAGCGCAACCCUUAUCUUUAGUUACUAACAGGUUAUGCUGAGGACUCUAGAGAGACUGCCGUCGUAAGAUGUGAGGAAGGUGG